AUACUUACCUGGCAGGGGAGAUAUCAUCAUUAUGAAGGUGCUACCAUCUUAUUACAGGUAGUAAUAAGAUACCAUCAUUGCAUUCCGGAUAUGCUGACCCCUGCGAUUUCCCCAAAUGUGUGAGAAACUCAGUUGCAUAAUUUGUGGUAGUGGGGGACUGAGAAAAAAACAUUUCUUUU
rnacentral:snRNA from 10 species